UCCUUGGUGGUCUAGUGGUUAAGACUUUGCCCUUCAAAUAUAGGGGGCACAGGUUCAAUCCCUGGUCAUGGAA
rnacentral:tRNA from 1 species